rnacentral:rRNA from 1 species
GACGUAGGGGGCAAGCGUUGUUCGGAAUUAUUGGGCGUAAAGCGCUCGUAGGCGGGACAGGAAGUUCGUGUUGAAAGACCUCGGCUCAACUGAGGGACCGGCUCGAAUACUCUUGUUCUUGAGGCAAUCAGAGGGUGAUGGAAUUCCCGGUGUAGCGGUGAAAUGCGUAGAGAUCGGGAGGAACAUCCAUGGCGAAGGCAGCUACCUGGACCAACACUGACACUGAGGCACGAAAGCGUGGGGAGCAAACAGG